rnacentral:rRNA from 1 species
UACGUAGGGGGCUAGCGUUGUCCGGAAUCAUUGGGCGUAAAGAGCGCGUAGGCGGCCAGAUAAGUCCGGUGUGAAAGUCACAGGCUCAACCUGUGAAUGCCGCUGGAAACUGUCUGGCUAGAGUCCGGAAGGGGCGAGUGGAAUUCCUGGUGUAGCGGUGAAAUGCGCAGAUAUCAAGAGGAACACCUGCGGCGAAGGCGGGUUGCUGGGCCGACACUGACGCUGAGGCGCGAAAGCUAGGGGAGCGAACGGG